UACGUAGGGUGCAAGCGUUAAUCGGAAUUACUGGGCGUAAAGCGUGCGCAGGCGAUUGUGCAAGACCGAUGUGAAAUCCCCGGGCUUAACCUGGGAACUGCGUUUCUAACUGGCAGGCUUGAGUGUGGCAGAGGGGGUGGAAUUCCGACGUGUAGCAGUGAAAUGCGUAGAGAUGUGGAGGAACACCGGUGGCGAAGGCGGGUCUCUGGGCCGAUACUGACGCUGAGGAGCGAAAGCGUGGGGAGCGAACAGG
rnacentral:rRNA from 1 species